rnacentral:lncRNA from 1 species
CCGUCUCCACCUAGCCACCGUGUACAUUUUCUUUCUCUCUCUUGCAGCUGUUCUCUUCCUACGGACUGAAUGAAAAAUAAAAGGAAGUCAUUUCUGCAUGUGUCACAGAGGCAUCCUUUGGUUCUAAAGGAAGCUAAGUUGGAUUCCACAAGCCCAUGGUCCUUAUAGCAUGUGAAUAGGAUUCAGUCACGGACGAGAAGGAAGAGGUUCAGGAGAGACUGUAAUCGCCCUGUCCAGGCUAACCCUCCAGCUGUGCAGGAGUAUCAAGUCCAAAAAGAAGCUCUUCAAACCAUCUGGGAAGAGAAAACAGCAUGACAAGGAAAGGUGUAUUUGUCUGAUUCUAGGAAUCAAUAUAAACAUCCAUGAUAACCCCAUCUAAUUUUUAAAUGUAUGAUUUGGAUGAAACAAGAGAAGACACUGAUUGUUGCUGAGUCCCUGCUGUAGUCCUGACACAGCUGGAGAUGCCCUGCUCUCCUUAUUUUCUUGAUGCUCAUGAGGACCCUGAUGUCUAAGGAAGAAGGUUCUCGUCCAGGUCUGCCCCUGGUGUGUCACGUGCCAGCCUUGUCAAUGCACACGAGAACCUGACAGGUUUUAUGAUUUUAGAACAUAAGUUUUAUGAUUGUUAGUGCUGGGCAACAAAAAGGAGUCCAGAGGAACGGGAGAAAAAACAACAAUAGCAAUGAUGUGAAUGCAAAACAUGAACCAGACUAAGCAGAGCAGAGGGCGGUGUGGAGCGGGAAGCAGAGACAGAAGCUUGUGAUGUUUCAGUGAUUGCUGGGAGUUAUUCAUCACCGGUAAGCCUCAUGUUCCAAAGACUCAUCAGGGCCAGGGGUUAGUUUUACGAGCUCUGUGUAAAAGAUCAUUACACAGGGCCAGUUAGAGUUCCCGCAGGAAGGAAGCGGCACACCCUAUGGGGUGAUUAGGAAGAGUGUCAUGAAGGGUGCCACACUCACACCCUAGGAAAGAGGAAAGGGGCCCAAGGGGACUCACAGAGGGAGCAGAGGGUCUGUGGGCCACAGCCAGCCCAACCACAGAGUGGCCAGAGUGACAUAGGCCCCCUCUCUGCAGGCUGGUCUCCUGCUUGGGUGUGCCCCAAGUCACCCACC